rfam:Ornithorhynchus anatinus chromosome 4, whole genome shotgun sequence.
AACCUCUCAGGAUCGCACCUGGAGCGUUUCCAGUCCUCUACCAGUCUCGGCUACAGGAGGGAGAGUCAAGCAGAGGUCUACCGAUUCCAUUCCUAGCUCGGCCAGUGGCUAGCGAGUGGAAGGCAAUCUGCUACAAAU